AAAUUGCAACCAGACUUGUCCAGAAAACUUUUAUGGAAGAUUUUGUAAUGAAGUGUGUGAUUGCAAGGAUUGUGACAAGAGUUUUGGUUGCCAUAAAGAUACAUUAGAACAACAAGCUGUACAGAUUUGUAUAAAAAUCAUCAUUUUAUCCACAAUCGGCAAUAUUAUCAUCUGUGUUACAUGUGCAAUCUUCGUUUAUUGUAAAUUUUGGAAACAUAACACAUUAAAUGCACCAGAGAAGUCUCAAAAUAAAGGUAAAAGAUA